UACGGGGGGGAGCAAGCGUUGUUCGGAUUUACUGGGCGUAAAGGGCGCGUAGGCGGCCACCGCAAGUCGACUGUGAAAUCUCCGGGCUUAACCCGGAAAGGUCAGCCGAUACUGCGGGGCUAGAGUGCAGAAGGGGCAACUGGAAUUCUCGGUGUAGCGGUGAAAUGCGUAGAUAUCGAGAGGAACACCUGCGGCGAAGGCGGGUUGCUGGGCUGACACUGACGCUGGAGGCGCGAAAGCUAGGGGAGCGAACGGG
rnacentral:rRNA from 1 species